rnacentral:rRNA from 1 species
AUUGAACGCUGGCGGCAUGCCUUACACAUGCAAGUCGAACGGUAACGCGGGGCAACCUCGCGACGAGUGGCGAACGGGUGAGUAACGCAUCGGAACGUGCCCAAUCGUGGGGGAUAACGUAGAGAAAUUUACGCUAAUACCGCAUGAGAUCUAAGGAUGAAAGCAGGGGAUCGCAAGAACUUGCGCGAUUGGAGCGGCUGAUGUCCGCUUAGGUAGUUGGUGGGGUAAAGGCCCACCACGCCGACGAUCUGUAGCUGGUUUGAGAGAACGACCAGCCACACGGGGAAUGACACACGGCCCAGACUCCUACGGGAGGCAGCAGUGGGGAAUGUUGGACAAUGGGCGAAAGCCUGAUUCAGCAAUGCCGCGUGCAGGAAGAAGGCCUUCGGGUUGUAAACUGCUUUUGUACGGAACGAAAUAGCUCUGGUUAAUACCCGUAGUUGAUGACGGUACCGUAAGAAUAAGCACCGGCUAACUACGUGCCAGCAGCCGCAGUAA